ACUCACUCAUCACGAAAUCUCCGAAACUAUAACACCUACAAACUUGAAAUUUGGCAGGAAAGCUCCUUAUAGGACGUAAACAUCCGCUAAGAACGAAUUUUACGAAAAUCGACCCCUAAGGGGGUAAAACGGGGGUUGGAAGUUUGUAUGAAAGUCCUAUGUUUUUGAAGUAAGAGACCUGAAAUUUAAAAUGUAUGCUCUAUAGAUGGUGAGAAAGUGU
rnacentral:misc_RNA from 1 species